rnacentral:rRNA from 1 species
UACGGAGGGUGCGAGCGUUGUCCGGAAUCACUGGGCGUAAAGGGCGCGUAGGCGGUCUGCUAAGCGUGCGGUGAAAGCCCGGGGCUCAACCCCGGGUCUGCCGUGCGAACUGGUGGACUCGAGCACUGUAGAGGCAGGUGGAAUUCCGGGUGUAGCGGUGGAAUGCGUAGAGAUCCGGAAGAACACCGGUGGCGAAGGCGGCCUGCUGGGCAGUUGCUGACGCUGAGGCGCGACAGCGUGGGGAGCAAACAGG